GGGCAUUUGGUCUAGUGGUAUGAUUCUUGCUUAGGGUGCGAGAGGCCCGGAGCUCAAUUCUCGGAAAACCCC
rnacentral:tRNA from 3 species